rnacentral:misc_RNA from 1 species
GCCCCGGAAACCGAAGAAUUCACCGCCCGAUCCCUUCAUGAAGCUCAGAUCCGCAACCGAUCAGUUUAAAUUCUUCUACAAGAUGCACCCGGUGGCAUUGUUCCUCGUCUCGUUGUCGUUUGGGCUGACAAUUCUGGUUUUGUUCUCAGUAUAUGAGAGCCGGUUUAGGUCAAUCAGGAUCGGUGACAGCGAGGAUCUGGUUUCGGGUUCAUAUCCUCUGCCGGAUCUUCGGAACCUUGU